AGAACGAACGCUGGCGGCAGGCCUCAAACAUGCAAGUCUAGGGGGUGUAGCAAUACAUCACCGGCGGACGGGUGCGUAACACGUGGGAAUAUACCUUUUGGUUCGGAACAACGCAGGGAAACUUGCGCUAAUACCGAAUGUGCCCUUACGGGGAAAGAUUUAUCGCCAAAGGAUUAGCCCGCGUAGGAUUAGCUAGUUGGUGAGGUAAUGGCUCACCAAGGCUCCGAUCCUUAGCUGUUCUGAGAGGAAGAUCAGCCACACUGGGACUGAGACACGGCCCAGACUCCUACGGGAGGCAGCAGUUGGGAAUCUGGACAAUGGGGGAAACCCUGAUCCAGCCAUGCCGCGUGAGUGAUGAAGGCCUUCGGGUUGUAAAACUCUUUCGACGGGACGAUAAUGACGGUACCCGUAGAAGAAGCUCCGGCUAACUUCGCGCCAGCAGCCGC
rnacentral:rRNA from 1 species